rnacentral:lncRNA from 1 species
AUUGCUUAACUUUCAAUUUCUUCACCCUAUUCUUCAGGAGGGCUCCUGACUUGCCAUUUUUCAAUCCGUUAACUUUUAUCUUUUCACCUUGUUGCUUUGUUUUCAACUUCUUCAGCUUGUUGCUUGACUUUUCAUUUAUUCGCCCUGUUCUUCAGGCGGGCGCCUGAAAUCACAUCAAAACUAAAAGAAAAUUAUCCCAAACAAGAAUUAUUAU